GGGACAAGUAAACAGUUCAUAGGCUCCUCCUGUGCCUGGGAGAGAAUUGAGUAAGAACAACUCUUUAAAUUAUCUCUCAGGUACAGAAAAUAUCCAAUAUUUAUAAACAGCAUAAAACACAUUUUAAUAUUUCAGAACCCCACGAAAGUUACUUCACCAAAUAGCUGGGAUCUGAGCGCCCACUUUACCAAAAUAUCACUCAUAUUUGUUCGGUGGUUUAGGAAUGCCAUUCGAGUGAAGUUUUGAGGUGAAGCCCCCAAAGCAGUUCCAGAGAAAUUCGACCGGUCUUCUUUCGGGAGUUCUUGCACGAAUGCUGAUGAAGGCUCUCCCUGGCUGCAAGCAUACAAAUGUUCCCUCUGUUCGGUAGUUUAGGUCUCCCGAAUGCCGUUCUCCUACUGGUUCGGGAAGUUGAAUGGGCAGCGGUAUCAGUUUACCGGCUGUUCGCGGAGUAGACUAGCCGAAAUUAGUUCCAGGUCGUCAACGACCAUGUACCGCUGCCCAU